UACGAAGGGGGCUAGCGUUGUUCGGAAUCACUGGGCGUAAAGCGCACGUAGGCGGAUUGUUAAGUCGGGGGUGAAAUCCUGAGGCUCAACCUCAGAACUGCCUUCGAUACUGGCAAUCUCGAGUCCGGAAGAGGUUGGUGGAACAGCUAGUGUAGAGGUGAAAUUCGUAGAUAUUAGCUAGAACACCAGUGGCGAAGGCGGCCAACUGGUCCGGUACUGACGCUGAGGUGCGAAAAGCGUGGGGGAGCAAACAGGG
rnacentral:rRNA from 1 species